rnacentral:misc_RNA from 1 species
CAAAGCAAACAUCCCAUUUGCAAAUCUCCAUGAGUAUUCAAACUGAAUUGACUUUGGAUUUUCUCUUUCAGGUAUGCGAAUUUCACCAAUAAUUCCUUUGAUAGCUUCCUGCAUGAAAAGCAUGGCAAUCAGAAGACCAAACAAUUCUCCAGCAAGGCGAGUAAACCUAUUGAUAAUGGAGCAAGCUCCUAAAAUAGCCAGUAGAAACAACAAGAUCGCUGUCCACACGCAUACCCAUCCCGUCCAUGCCAGGAAGAGCUUUGAUCCCAAGUCAGGUCUACUUUUAGCAAAAUUGAACAUGAACGUGUACAUAAUUACAGUUGGCUCUGCAACUCCUAGGAUCAGCAAAGGCUGACCUCCAAUAAUGGAAUGUAUAGUUCCACACAAUGCAGUAGAAGCCAAUGUUUGAACUGCUGUGAGAACCCCGUCUGUAUCUCUUUCCAACUGUUCUCCGAAUGAAAUAACUGGAAUUGCUGAGGCAAAAAAAAUGUAUGUGGUGGGUGCUAAAAUCCUGAGAAAAUCAUAACAGGAUACAAAAAAGAGCGCAUCAUUUGAAGACAAAAUUGCUUUCAAAAAAAAGAUAAAAUUCAGCAGUAGAAAUCGAAAAGGCAAACUUUCAAACUGAACCACGUUGAUAACACAAUCCUAUAAUAAAUGAUAAUAUUGAAAUUUCUCUCAUGGCAAGAGAAAGAUGUACCUGAAGCCUGCCCUGAAACCACCCAUCCAAUCCUGCUUGUAACACAUCAAUCUCCCUUUUAGAUCGUUCUUGAUUCCACGAAAUGGUACAAAGCUCUCUUCCAUAAUUCCUUACGCAAUUAGGACAACAAUAUCAACUUAUUUUAUGCUUCAACUACGUACAAGACCAAAACGCAGAGUUUUCAACAAGGAAGUUGCAUUUAUGGCUAUGUUUCGGAGGUAAAUAAGGUUGGCAUUGGACGAAUAGAUAAUCUGUACCCUUGAAACAAUGUGGAUGGCGACACAGAGGAGGGUCACAAGGAAAGCUCCAAAUAUAUCGGCCCAACCCGAAGAAUUGAAAAUGCAAAAGAAACCAAUUGUCUUUUUGGUUCUUUUAUCUGGGCUUAAAAAAGAGAGGUGCAGAGAAAGCUGGUAGAAGGGUACUUUUCAUGUGUGUGUCUCUGCAAGUCUGUGUGUGUGAGAGAGAGAAAGAGAGAGGAUGCCAGUCCAUGACAAGCUGGCCUGGAAAGAAGCAGCCAAGUAGCUUCAUUUCACUGAUCU